GACGAACGCUGGCGGCGUGCUUAACACAUGCAAGUCGAACGGAAAGGCCCUGCUUUUGUGGGGUGCUCGAGUGGCGAACGGGUGAGUAACACGUGAGUAACCUGCCCUUGACUUUGGGAUAACUUCAGGAAACUGGGGCUAAUACCGGAUAGGAGCUCCUGCUGCAUGGUGGGGGUUGGAAAGUUUCGGCGGUUGGGGAUGGACUCGCGGCUUAUCAGCUUGUUGGUGGGGUAGUGGCUUACCAAGGCUUUGACGGGUAGCCGGCCUGAGAGGGUGACCGGCCAACAUGGGACUGAGAUACGGCCCAGACUCCUACGGGAGGCAGCAGUGGGGAAUAUUGCACAAUGGGCGGAAGCCUGAUGCAGCAACGCCGCGUGCGGGAUGACGGCCUUCGGGUUGUAAACCGCUUUCGCCUGUGACGAAGCGUGAGUGACGGUAAUGGGUAAAGAAGCACCGGCUAACUACGUG
rnacentral:rRNA from 1 species